rnacentral:rRNA from 1 species
GCAAGUCGAGCGGUAGCACAGGGGAGCUUGCUCUCUGGGUGACGAGCGGCGGACGGGUGAGUAAUGUCUGGGAAACUGCCUGAUGGAGGGGGAUAACUACUGGAAACGGUAGCUAAUACCGCAUAACGUCGCAAGACCAAAGAGGGGGACCUUCGGGCCUCUUGCCAUCAGAUGUGCCCAGAUGGGAUUAGCUAGUAGGUGGGGUAAUGGCUCACCUAGGCGACGAUCCCUAGCUGGUCUGAGAGGAUGACCAGCCACACUGGAACUGAGACACGGUCCAGACUCCUACGGGAGGCAGCAGUGGGGAAUAUUGCACAAUGGGCGCAAGCCUGAUGCAGCCAUGCCGCGUGUGUGAAGAAGGCCUUCGGGUUGUAAAGCACUUUCAGCGAGGAGGAAGGUGGUGAGCUUAAUACGUUCAUCAAUUGACGUUACUCGCAGAAGAAGCACCGGCUAACUCCGUGCCAGCAGCCGCGGUAAUACGGAGGGUGCAAGCGUUAAUCGGAAUUACUGGGCGUAAAGCGCACGCAGGCGGUUUGUUAAGUCAGAUGUGAAAUCCCCGGGCUCAACCUGGGAACUGCAUUUGAAACUGGCAAGCUAGAGUCUCGUAGAGGGGGGUAGAAUUCCAGGUGUAGCGGUGAAAUGCGUAGAGAUCUGGAGGAAUACCGGUGGCGAAGGCGGCCCCCUGGACGAAGACUGACGCUCAGGUGCGAAAGCGUGUGGAGCAAACAGGAUUAGAUACCCUGGUAGUCCACGCUGUAAACGAUGUCGAUUUGGAGGUUGUGCCCUUGAGGCGUGGCUUCCGGAGCUAACGCGUUAAAUCCACCGCCUGG